rnacentral:rRNA from 1 species
CAGUAGCCGCGGUAAUACGUAGGUGGCAAGCGUUGUCCGGAAUUAUUGGGCGUAAAGGGCUCGCAGGCGGUUUCUUAAGUCUGAUGUGAAAGCCCCCGGCUCAAUCGGGGAGGGUCAUUGGAAACUGGGAAACUUGAGUGCAGAAGAGGAGAGUGGAAUUCCACGUGUAGCGGUGAAAUGCGUAGAGAUGUGGAGGAACACCAGUGGCGAAGGCGACUCUCUGGUCUGUAACUGACGCUGAGGAGCGAAAGCGUGGGGAGCGAACAGGAUUAGAUACCCCCGUAGUCCCUGUCUCUUAUAC